rnacentral:rRNA from 1 species
CCUACGGGAGGCAGCAGUGGGGAAUAUUGGGCAAUGGGCGCAAGCCUGACCCAGCAACGCCGCGUGAAGGAAGAAGGCUUUCGGGUUGUAAACUUCUUUUCUCAGGGACGAAGCAAGUGACGGUACCUGAGGAAUAAGCCACGGUGAACUACGUGCCAGCAGCCGCGGUAAUACGUAGGUGGCAAGCGUUAUCCGGAUUUACUGGGUGUAAAGGGUGUGUAGGCGGGGACGCAAGUCAGAUGUGAAAACCACGGGCUCAACCUGUGGCCUGCAUUUGAAACUGUGUUUCUUGAGUACUGGAGAGGCAGACGGAAUUCCUAGUGGAGCGGUGAAAUGCGUAGAUAUUAGGAGGAACACCAGUGGCGAAGGCGGUCUGCUGGAGAGCAACUGACGCUGAGGCGCGAAAGCGUGGGGAGCGAACAGGAUUAGAUACCCUUGUAGUC